rnacentral:lncRNA from 1 species
CUGUAGUCCCAGCUACUCGGGAGGCUGACACAGGAGAAUCACUUGAACCCGGGAGUUGGAGGUUGCAGUGAGAGCCGAGAUUGUGCCUGGGUGACAGAGCGAGACUCCAUCUUAAAAAAUAAAAAAAAGGAAAUAUAACUUAAGGAAGUCCUGAAUUUAAAAAAAUGAUUACUCAAGGUAAAAAAAUCAGAGUUAUGAAGGUGCUGGUACCUUGUAGUUAUUAAUAAAUGUUUGAAUGGAUAGGCUUGUGGGAAGCAUAACAAGUGUAUCUCAAAAAUGUCCACACCCUAAUUCAUGAAUGCAGGAAUAUGUGAUGUUGCACGGCAAGGGAAAUUUCAGUUGUAGAUGGACUGAAGUUAUUAAUCAGCUAACCUUAAGAUAGGGAGAUUAUCCUGAAUUGUGCCAGUGGGCCCAAUGUAAUCACAGGGUAUUAGAAGUAGAUGAGGGGUGCCAGAAGAAGAGAAAGAGGUGAGGAUUUACUGUUAACUGUAUUUACUGUUAACAUUUUGUUAACAGGUAUGUGUCCUGUCUCCCACUCCCCCACUAAACACGUGUGUAUGUUUGUUUCUGGAACAUUAAAUCCUGCUAAUUGAUCAUGUAGAUGAGUUAAAGACUCUUCAAAUCUUAGUUUGUGAAAGAAAUCCAACCCAGCCAUGGGUCACAUUACAUUUGUGUACAUGUGGAGAAGAGAGAGGCAGGCCAGUUAUCUUUCUCUUGCUUUGAAAGGCUUCACGUUUACACCUUAUAGAAUUAGAGAUACGCCAUUUCAAACUAAUCCCAUGACAGCAGAUUAUCAAGAAAGCCUUUCAGAAUUAGAUUUUCUAUGAUUUUAAUGUUUCUUUGACAGAGAAUGAUAAUCAGUGAUAUCUGAUGCCUUCCAAAUAUACACAAGUAACAUUUCCAUGAUUAUAUGUACAAGUAACAAAUCCAAGGUAUAUGAAAUCCAAAUAUAUGAAAUGACUAAGAUGGCAACAAUUUGAAAUAAUUACACGAAUCUCCCAUAUCACAUAGAACACAUGAUUCAGUCUCUUGCUAAUAUUCUUGAUUUGGUAUCUCUUCUCAGAUUAGAUUCUUUAAACUUGAUUUCUGAUGCAGAAUCAUGUCUCUAUUUCCCUAGUUGCUGGUAAAGAGGGAACAUUUUCUUACGUGUCUUAGAAUCGUUUUUGCUAAUUCUGCUGAUUCAAAUAAAUUCAUGCUUAACAUCAGGCUUGGAAAGUUAUUUUUAGUUAGCAUUCAUGAUAUUGAUAGCUGAUUGAGAAGCACAUAUUUUAGCAUAAGAAAACAGCAGCCUCAUGUUUCUUUUCUAAAAAUGGAUUAAGGGAUAUGUAAUGUCAGUGAUCUUUAAUAAAAACAGCUAACUUAUGUAAAGUAAUUGUUAUGUAUUACUAUGUUUUAUGUAGAUUAUCUUACUUGAUAAUUGAGAUAGCCAUAUCUCAUGGUAUUUAUAUUCCAGUUUCACCAGUGAGGAAAAAGACACUGCGAGGUUAGUAACUGUCAGAGUUCAGAAUCACACCCUGAAAGUUGUACUGCAGAGCCUGUGUUCUUAAUUUCUCCAAAGUACCUCUGCCCAAAUUACAUGUACCUUUUUAAAUCUACUUUCUUCAUUUGGUAAUACAUCAUAAAUGCUUUCUCAAUUAUAUGGAUCAGUAUCACUAGUAAAUGUAUUUUAUGUCAUGAUAUAGCAGAUCAUAAUUUAUUUAAUCUGUCCUCUACUGUCAGAUAUUUCUUUUUUUUUUUCUGAGACAGAGUCUCGCUCUGUUGCCCAGGCUGGAGUGCAGUGGCGCAAUCAGAGCCCACUGCAGCCUCCGCCUCCCAGGUUUGAGCGAUUCUCCUGCCUCAGCCUCCCGAGUAGCUGGGACUACAGCUGCCUGUCCCCACGCCUGGAUGAUUUUUUUGUAUUUUUAGUAGAGACGAGGUUUCACAAUGUUGGCCAGGCUGCUCUCAAACAACUGACCUCAGGUGAUCCGCCCACCUUGGCCUCCCAAGGUGCUGGGAUUACAGGCAUGAGCCACCGCACCCAACCUAUUUUUUUGAUUUUUUUAAAAUUAUUCUCUGAAGGCUGGGCGUGGUGGCUCACGCCUAUAAUCCCAGCGCUUUGGGAGCUGAGGCGGGUGGAUCACG